GACGAACGCUGGCGGCGUGCUUAACACAUGCAAGUCGAACGGAAGGGCCCCCUUGUGGGGUACUCGAGUGGCGAACGGGUGAGUAACACGUGAGUAACCUACCCUUGACUUUGGGAUAACUUCAGGAAACUGGGGCUAAUACCGGAUAGGAGCUCCUGCUGCAUGGUGGGGGUUGGAAAGUUUCGGCGGUUGGGGAUGGACUCGCGGCUUAUCAGCUUGUUGGUGGGGUAGUGGCUCACCAAGGCCUUGACGGGUAGCCGGCCUGGGAGGGUGACCGGGCACAUUGGGACUGCGGUACGGCGCAGACUCGUACGGGAGGCAACAGUGGGGAAUAUUGCACAGUGGGCGGGAGCGUGAUACGGCAACGCCGCGUGCGGAAUGACGGCCUUCGGGUUGUAAACCGCUUUCGCCUGUGACGAAGCGUGAGUGACGGUAAUGAGUAAAGAAGCACCGGCUAACUACGUG
rnacentral:rRNA from 1 species